GUUUUGGUAACUGUACUAAAUGUGCAUUUAAAUAUAUACAUAUAUGCAGUUAGCUUGUCUAAUGUGUUAGUCACUUCAAGCCAGGUAUUUCUGAUGCAGCUCUUGUAAUAGGCCUCCUGACCUGUAAUCCUGGAAAAGAAUAACUCAACAUUAUUGCCCCCUGCUGGUUCCUAUUGAGCUAUUUAACAAGGAGCCCACACAUGCAAGCAUGCUUGCAGUACAAGGACUUGCAUUUCUCCAAGCAGCUCUCACUCUUUGGAGGAGAGGACACUGAUGCAGACUUUCCUUACAAACUACAAACUUGCACACUGCUUCUCCACGGGAAGGAUUUUCCUCACUUGUUGGACAAGGCAUUAAGAAGGAUAGAGGACUCCAGCAGGCUGACUCUACACUUCAUCAUGCACCACAUCGGCAUCAUCAACAGGCCCUCUGAAAAACCUCAGACUUGCAACUCACCUUGACUGCAUACUGCAUGCACCAUCACCACAAGCAUAUCAAGGAGGACCACUUACAGCACUUCUGGUUUGCAUGGCACGAAAAUACCAUGGUAGACUGUACCCAUUCUAAACCAGUUUGCAUGUGUUUCCAAUCUUAUGUCCCUUUAAAAUUACCGUUGUAGAAUGAAACAUCAUAAAAUGGAAGAUCCAAACUCUUGUUUCUCUCCUUUAGGUUUUCCAGUGUAAAUGCUUUCUAAAGGACUUCACUUACUUUAAAGAUUAAUUGAAAUUUUGCUGUAUGCUGUCAAGUCCCCUCAAGCACCAGUAUUUGACACAAGGUCUAAUUUGUCUAAGCAUUUUUACUGCAAAGGCUAGUUUGAAUAACAACUGCAUGGAAAUGU